GCAAGUUAAGUUUAUCUCCGAGGCUCGACGCUGAAGAGUGACCAUGGGUUAGUUAGGUAGUGGGGUGGGAGGGACUCCAGCCUGCCAAUGAGAAAUGGGGGUGUGGCGUAUGCAAAUUAACGGGGACUCUAGCGCCAUCCUCAGGACAAGCCACGCCUCUCUGGAAGACCCGGCAGAAUGGUGAGAGUGAGAUUAAAUAGCUGGAAGCUAGAGCUCGCUAGAGGAUCUGAGACCUAGCUAAACAUUUCCUGAUCUCUCGAGAGUGGGCCGAGUGGACGCCGGGGCCGUGGUUCGGCUUUUUUUCGGGUCGGCCUAAAUCUAUGAAUAGCUGUGAGGAAGACUGUGGUCUUGCAGCACUCCGCACCCAAAGAUCUCAAAGAACUUUAUGCUCUUUAUACACUCUUGUGCGAAAGCCCAGCUACUACCUGCGGCUGUAGAGCCGGAGGUCUGAAGUCUAUACAGCUAUUGGAGUUGGAGACCUGGAGACACAUCUUUGGUUUAGGGGUUUUUCCCCUCUCUCUGACGAUCAUUCUCACACCAAAGAAAGUUCCUUUUAUCAUGAACAAGUCAGAGAGACAGAAGGCAUAAGUCACUGAAGAAAGCUCCGGCUGGCCAGAUGCCCAACCCAGGCGAAUGAGGGAACCAGAGACCUACACCUUGAACCUUAAACAAGCCUACACAAAGAACAAAGGAAAUGAAAAGCUGCCUGCACUAGGUUUAAACAGACUGGAAAACCCCAAUGGUCUAGGUGAUAUGGUUAGACAUUGCCACCAUAUGCAGAGAUGAUUGUGGUCUCCAUGAAGAUUGCCCAUCGUGUUCAGAUUAAAGAAUUAUUGUCAUCUCAGCCCUCUUAGCCAGCCAGACAAAGCAACUCCUGCUCAGUGCUACAUGGAAACUGGAAAGGGUCUGCCCAGUUACAAUCUCAGUCAUUUUGGUUUCUGUGGAGGAAGAAAGGUGAUGCCUGCAACUUGGGUUUGCGUGUGUAUUCAGGGAAUCAUCUUCCUCAGGGCCAAGAGGCUUGAUUCAGCCAUAGUCCUACCUGGGGUUACCAUCGGAGACCUACAACAGGAAGCUUACUGGCUUUGCUUGGGAAAGAAAUGUCUUGGACCUGUGGGAUCUUUAUGCUGAAGCCACACAAAAGGAGAAAGGUAUUGAGGGCAAGGAGAGAAAAAGAGGGCUAAGAAGUCCUUUAGACACCAGGAGAGCUGAAAAACUCUCCCAUGGCUUUAUUUUUUUUUAAUGUUGGUUGCUACAAUAAUAAAUCAAAUCCCAAACCCAUGUGGCUUUAUCUUUUUCU